UCCGCGAUAGCUCAAUGGUAGAGCGAACGGCUGUUAACCGUUUGGUUCCAGGUUCGAGUCCUGGUCGCGGAGCCA
rnacentral:tRNA from 1 species